AUUGAACGCUGGCGGCAGGCCUAACACAUGCAAGUCGGACGGUAGCACAGAGGAGCUUGCUCCUCGGGUGACGAGUGGCGGACGGGUGAGUAAUGUCUGGGGAUCUGCCCGAUAGAGGGGGAUAACCACGGGAAACGGUGGCUAAUACCGCAUAACGUCGCAAGACCAAAGAGGGGGACCUUCGGGCCUCUCACGAUCGGAUGAACCCAGAUGGGAUUAGCUAGUAGGCGGGGUAAUGGCCCACCUAGGCGACGAUCCCUAGCUGGUCUGAGAGGAUGACCAGCCACACUGGAACUGGGACACGGUCCAGACUCCUACGGGAGGCAGCAGUGGGGAAUAUUGCACAAUGGGCGCAAGCCUGAUGCAGCCAUGCCGCGUGUAUGAAGAAGGCCUUCGGGUUGUAAAGUACUUUCAGCGGGGAGGAAGGCGAUAAGGUUAAUAACCUUGUCGAUUGACGUUACCCGCAGAAGAAGCACCGGCUAACUCCGUGCCAGCAGCCGCCGUAA
rnacentral:rRNA from 1 species